UCCUACGGGGGGCAGCAGUAGGGAAUUUUCGUCAAUGGGCGCAAGCCUGAACGAGCGAUGCCGCGUGAGUGAAGAAGGCCUUCGGGUCGUAAAGCUCUGUUGCGGGGGAAAAAAGGCAGCAUCAGGAAAUGGGUGCUGACUGAUGGUGCCCCGCCAGAAAGUCACGGCUAACUACGUGCCAGCAGCCGCGGUAAUACGGAGGAUGCGAGCGUUAUCCGGAUUUAUUGGGUUUAAAGGGUGCGCAGGCGGAUUUUUAAGUCAGCGGUCAAAUCGUGGGGCUCAACCCCAUCCAGCCGUUGAAACUG
rnacentral:rRNA from 1 species